UACGUAGGGGGCAAGCGUUGUCCGGAAUCAUUGGGCGUAAAGAGCGUGUAGGCGGCCCGGUAAGUCCGCUGUGAAAGUCCAGGGCUCAACCCUGGAAUGCCGGUGGAAACUGUCCGGGCUAAGAGUCCGGAAGAGGCGAGUGGAAUUCCUGGUGUAGCGGUGAAAUGCGCAGAUAUCAGGAGGAACACCAUGGCGAAGGCAGCU
rnacentral:rRNA from 1 species